CCACUUCACAUUAAGCUCGCAUCGCCUAUAUAGGGCCUGCCGGUUUCGGCCGGCUAUGGCGAUAAAUGGCGCCGUGCAAUAGGUACAACGGACCCGGGGGCAGUACCCGGCGGCUCCACCAUGAACCGCGCAUCUCGCGGCUGAUGACGGGGCCGAACCAGGAUCGACGUGUGCUGAAAGACGGUGUUUUCACCCGGGCUGAGUAACCCGUAAAACUGUUCAAAACACACAAGUGCCAACGAUAACGAAGCACUCGCUCUCGCUGCGUAAUCUGACGGCCUAGCGGCCUGAACUUACAAAGCUAAAGCGCGGUUGGACCCACCGGGCAACAGAAGCGGAUUCCG
rnacentral:tmRNA from 1 species